rnacentral:rRNA from 1 species
UACGUAGGGUGCGAGCGUUGUCCGGAAUUAUUGGGCGUAAUGAGCUUGUAGGCGGUUUGUCGCGUCUGCUGUGAAAAUCCGGGGCUCAACCCCGGACUUGCAGUGGGUACGGGCAGACUAGAGUGUGGUAGGGGAGACUGGAAUUCCUGGUGUAGCGGUGAAAUGCGCAGAUAUCAGGAGGAACACCGAUGGCGAAGGCAGGUCUCUGGGCCACUACUGACGCUGAGAAGCGAAAGCAUGGGGAGCGAACAGGAUUAGAUA